rnacentral:ncRNA from 2 species
ACGAAUAAUAGCCGACAAGGUCCUGGCAGUAUAUGACGUUAUUACAGCUGCUUAGGUUAAAAGGGAAGCCGGUGCAAAUCCGGCACGGUCCCGCCACUGUAUACCAGGGGCAGACAGCGUUAUAUCCACUGUUUCUUAUGCGAGAAAUGGGAAGGGCAGCUGUCCAGCCAUACCAAACCUGGAUAGUCAGGAGACCUGCCUUGCCGGAAGGAAGCGU